UCGUUAUAUUAUAAAGCUAAAAAUAUAUUCUGUUUCAACUUUCAACUAAGCAAAAUAAUGUGAAUAUAGAAAUAAAAGCAUCUAGCUUUCAUUUAUCUGAACCGGAGCUUCAUUUGCCGACUUAGCGAAGAAAUAGUCAAUCCGGCGAGUGCCAGGAGGGAGAGGUUUAUCGGUCACAGGAGCAGGACGAGUCUUCUCAGCUGGUGGUUUAUCGGAUAACUGAGUUGUCACGGGAAGCGAGUCAAGAAGAAAAUCACCGGUUGGCUGAUGCCUCUUAACGGCAACUC
rnacentral:misc_RNA from 1 species